UUCUGACUACUAGUAAUAGUAGAAACUAGCCACUACAGGAGAAGCACAUG
rnacentral:ncRNA from 1 species